AUGGAUGCACGCUUUGCCUCUCUACUCCUACUAAAUUUGGUUCAUCUGUUUUUGCGCAUCUCAGCUCGUGAAUUCCUCUUGCCAGGCUCCUCUCUCUCCAUAGAGGAUAGCUCCCAUAUGCUCCAUUCACCAGAUGGCACUUUCACCUGUGGCUUCAAAAACAUUUCCCGAAAUGCCUCCGUCUUCUCUAUUUGGUUCUCCAACACUGUUGACAAGACUGCCGUCUGGAGCGCAAAUCAUCUCCAUCCUGUGUACUCCUGGGGAUCCCGAGUCAUGCUAUAUGCGGAUGGCGGAAUGGUUCUAGAGGAUUAUAAUGGACAGUCUGUGUGGGAAAACAAUGUCAACUCUUCAUCAAAAGCUGUAAAAGCUCAGUUAUUGGACACCGGGAACCUCAUCGUGAAGGGCCAAGGUGAUAUUAUUCUAUGGCAAAGCUUUCAUUCUCCUACUGAUACAUUGCUGCCCUAUCAGAACAUUACUAGUGCUACCAAGUUGGUAUCUACUAGUAGGUUACUUGUUCCUGGCCGGUUCAGCUUUCAUUUUGAUGAUCAACAUCUACUCACAUUGUUUGAUGAUGAGAAGGAUAUCUCUUUUAUCUACUGGCCAAAUCCUAAUAGUGACAUAUGGACAAAGCAAAGAAACUCGUUUAAUACCACCACAAUUGGGGUACUUGAUAGUUGGGGGUAUUUCCUUGCAAGUGACAAUUUAAAUUUUAAGGCUAGUGAUUGGGGCAUCAGGAUUAUGAGGAGGCUAACCUUGGAUUACGAUGGUAACCUUAGAUUAUAUAGUCUAAAUAAGACAGAUGGAACAUGGUCUGUCACAUGGAUGGCACUUCCUCAGACCUGCUCUAUACGUAGUCUAUGUGGUAUGAAUGGAAUAUGUGUGUAUACACCUAGGCCUUCUUGUGCAUGUGCCCCUGGAUAUGAGAUCAUCGACCCAAAUGAUAGGAGCCAAGGUUGCAGGCCGAAAUUCAAUCCUAGUUGUGAUGGGCAGGAGAUGUUUGUGAAGCUACCAAACACUGACUUCCGAGGUAAUGACCAAAGCAAGAAUACCUCAGUUUCAUUUCAUACUUGCAAGAAGAUAUGCUUGAACGAUUGCAAUUGCAAAGGUUUUUUAUACUGGCAAGCAAGUGGAGGUUGCUAUCCAAAGUCGUCCCUUUUGGGUGGUGAAAUGAGGCCGGGUUUGGGUCGUUCUAUCUAUAUCAAGCUUCCUAAGACAUUACAGGUCUCAAAGUCCUCAAUUCCUCAAUCUCAACCUUUUGAUCCUAGAUACGCUCCUAAUUGUAGUGCAAAGACCAAAUAUUUCAUUCCCGAUUUUCUGGAUCAACCCAAAGAUAGUCAUAGUGGAUUAAACUCGCAGUACUUGUACUUGUUGUAUGGAUUCUUAUUAGCAAUAUUUCUUGUGGAGGUGAUAUUUGUGGCACUAGGGUGCUGGUUUGUGUUCAGAAUGGAGGGCAAGCAGUUACCAGGAGUAUGGCCAGCUGAGAUUGGCUAUGAAAUGAUAACCAACCACUUUCGCGGAUACACUUACAAGGAGUUGCAGAAAGCGACUCAAAAUUUUAAGGAUCAAAUUGGGUGUGGGGCAUCUGGUCAUGUAUACAAGGGGGUCUUGAAGGACAAGAGAGUAGUGGCGGUGAAAAGGUUGGCAGAUAUAAACCAAGGCGGGGAAGAAUUCCAACAUGAACUGAGUGUGAUUGGGAAGAUUUACCAUAUGAAUCUAGUGAGGGUAUGGGGGUUUUGUUCUGAUGGCCCACACAGGAUAUUGGUUCUAGAGUACGUUGAGAAUGGUUCAUUGGAUAAAACUUUGUUUAGUAGCACAAGGUUACUUGAAUGGAAGGAAAGGUUUAAUAUUGCUAUAGGGGUGGCAAAAGGAUUGGCAUAUCUUCAUCAUGAAUGCUUGGAAUGGGUUAUCCAUUGUGACCUGAAGCCUGAAAAUAUAUUGUUGGAUGACAACUUGAACCCGAAGAUCAGUGACUUUGGCCUUGCUAAACUUGUGAGUAGAGGUGGAUCCAAUAAAAACGUGUCGAGGAUCCAUGGAACAAGAGGUUACAUAGCUCCUGAGUGGGUCUCUAGCCAACCAAUAACAGCAAAAGUUGAUGUCUACAGCUUCGGAGUGGUUGUCUUGGAACUACUGAAGGGGGCUCGUGUUUCAGACUGGGCAUCAAAUGCUGACGAGGAAGUGGAAACGGUCUUUGCAUGGGUCAUUAGGAUGCUUGCAGAAAAUCUAAUGUUGGAGGGUGGCCAACAGUUAUGGAUCUCCGACUUCAUUGAUUCGAGAUUGAAUGGCCAGUUCAAUGAGUUGCAAGCAAGAACUAUGGUCAAGUUGGCCAUUUCUUGCGUAGAAGAAGAUACCAGAAAAAGGCCCACCAUGGAAAAUGUUGUGCAUAUGUUUCUUUCGGUUGUUGAUGCAUAA
rnacentral:rRNA from 1 species